UCCCAAGUGUGGGCGGGUAAAUCCCAUCUCCUCAGGUUUAGCCACGCCUCUGGGAUGCUGUCUCUCUCUGUGUGUGUAUCCAAGUCCUGUACUACUACACAAACCUUACAGUCCUCCAUAUUACUGCUGCAAGAGUGUAUGAAGGACUCUGCUCUGCUAAACAAGAUCAAAGCUCUGAGAGUGGAUACAGAGAGAAGAGCUGAAAGCAACACUAUGUUUUCAUUCUCAGGAUCACCAUACUCUCUGCUUCACAAUGUGUGGUUUAACAAUUCCAGUCAGAAUGAAGAUGAGGAACUUUUAUCAUCUGACGACUCUGAUGGACUCACAACUCAUACUGAUUCAACAACCAGUUCUCUCACUGACUCCAGUGUUACUGUAACAAACAGCAUCAACACUCUGCAGGCUGGUGAGGAUCAGGAAUCUUUUGACUCUUUUGAGUUUGAAUCAGACUCUACGGCAUCUGAGCAAAACUCUCCAGUCCCAGACAAAUUACCCAUCUGUAGUCCACAGGACGGUGUGUUCGACUCUUUUUUCCCCUGUGUGUAUCUGCAUUAG
ensembl:lncRNA